CAACCCUCGAGCCCUCCGUGGCCCGGCGUUGGGGAUCUCCGGCUCCGGCCGUAGGCCCCGAAAUACAGUGGCGGACCCGCGACGGCCCCUCCUUUGCGCAGUAGCACUAGCCUCGCAUCGGGAGCCCGCGGGCGCUCCGGCCUCUAAACCCCACUUUUAAAGCCCGUCUCCGGCGGCACCAA
rnacentral:misc_RNA from 1 species